UACGAAGGUCCCGAGCGUUGUUCGGAAUCACUGGGCGUAAAGGGAGCGUAGGCGGCGUGGUAAGUCAGAUGUGAAAUCCCGGGGCUCAACCCCGGAACUGCAUCCGAUACUGCCAUGCUAGAGUGAUGGAGAGGUAGCUGGAAUUCUUGGUGUAGCAGUGAAAUGCGUGGAGAUCAAGAGGAACACUCGUGGCGAAAGCGAGCUACUGGACAUUUACUGACGCUGAGGCUCGAAAGCGUGGGGAGCAAACAGG
rnacentral:rRNA from 1 species